rnacentral:rRNA from 1 species
GACGUAGGGGGCAAGCGUUGUCCGGAAUUAUUGGGCGUAAAGCGCUCGUAGGCGGAUCUGCAAGUCUGUGAAGAAAGACCCGGGCUCAACUCGGGGAACGGCAUAGAUACUGCGGAUCUUGAGACAAUCAGAGGAUGAUGGAAUUCCCGGUGUAGCGGUGAAAUGCGUAGAUAUCAGGAGGAACACCUGCGGUGUAGACGGCUUACUGGACGGUAACUGACGCUGAGGCACGAAAGCGUGGGUAGCAAACAGG